CCUACGGGAGGCAGCAGUGAGGAAUAUUGGUCAAUGGACGAGAGUCUGAACCAGCCAAGUAGCGUGAAGGAUGACUGCCCUAUGGGUUGUAAACUUCUUUUAUCUGGGAAUAAAACGUUCCACGUGUGGGAUUUUGUAUGUACCAUAUGAAUAAGGAUCGGCUAACUCCGUGCCAGCAGCCGCGGUAAUACGGAGGAUCCGAGCGUUAUCCGGAUUUAUUGGGUUUAAAGGGGGCGUAGGUGGAUUGUUAAGUCAGUUGUGAAAUUUUGCGGCUCAACCGUAAAAGUGCAGUUGAAACUGGCAGUCUUGAGUACAGUAGAGGUAUGCGGAAUGCGUGGUGUAGCGGUGAAAUGCAUAGAUAUCACGAAGAACUCCGAUUGCGAAGGCAGUUCACUGGACUGCAACUGACACUGAGGCUCGAAAGUGUGGGUAUCAAACAGGAUUAGAUACCCCUGUAGUC
rnacentral:rRNA from 1 species